rnacentral:rRNA from 1 species
GCUAACGCAUUAAGUGCCCCGCCCUGGGGGAGUACGCCCGCAAGGCUAAAACUCAAAGGAAUUGACGGGGGCCGCACAAGCGGCGGAGCAUGUGGCUUAAUUCGUCGCAACGCGAAGAACCUUACCAAGGCUUGACAUACACCGGAAAAGCGCUAGAGAUAGUGCCCCCCUUGUGGUCGGUGUACAGGUGGUGCAUGGCUGUCGUCAGCUCGUGUCGUGAGAUGUUGGGUUAAGUCCCGCAACGAGCGCAACCCUUGUCCCGUGUUGCCAGCAGGCCCUUGUGGUGCUGGGGACUCACGGGAGACCGCCGGGGUCAACUCGGAGGAAGGUGGGGACGACGUCAAGUCAUCAUGCCCCUUAUGUCUUGGGCUGCACACGUGCUACAAUGGCCGGUACAAAGAGCUGCGAUACCGUGAGGUGGAGCGAAUCUCAAAAAGCCGGUCUCAGUUCGGAUUGGGGUCUGCAACUCGACCCCAUGAAGUCGGAGUCGCUAGUAAUCGCAGAUCACAUUGCUGCGGUGAAUACGUUCCCGGGCCUUGUACACACCGCCC